rnacentral:rRNA from 1 species
UACAGAGGUCCCAAGCGUUGUUCGGAUUCACUGGGCGUAAAGGGUGCGUAGGUGGCCAGGUAAGUUCGGUGUGAAAGCUCGGAGCUUAACUCCGAAAUGUCAUUGAAUACUAUCUGGCUGGAGGGUCGGAGGGGAGAGGUGGAAUUCCUGGUGUAGCGGUGGAAUGCGCAGAUAUCAGGAGGAACACCGAUGGCGAAGGCAGGUCUCUGGGCCACUACUGACGCUGAGAAGCGAAAGCAUGGGGGAGCGAACAGG